GAUCUAGGCCCUGGAGCCAGCGCAGGACAGAACGACUCAGGCGGGAGCUCCUAGGCGGAUGUGGAUACACCAGACAUUUCUUUGGCUUCUUUCCUGCAGGAACUGCUGGUGGUGUAGAUAAUUGUAGCUUUCACUCCUCAUCUAAGAAGCUUCUCUUGGGAGCAAAUGGAAACCAUCACAGAAAACCACAACUGGACACAAUAGAGAGAUCCACAGAUGACGAGAAGCCUGGCUCCAAUGGAUCCAACGCCAUCAUAGCUCUGCCACUAUGGCUCAGAAAACAUUGGGGAAGAGAGGGAGAAAAGGCUACAAGAGCUAGAGCACCAGAAAGUCUUCUGUGAAUCCAGUUCUCCUGUAAAUGGCUGCAUGAGCAAGACCACGACAAUGGCAACAUCAGUGGAUGUGCUUAUGUGAAAGGGAGAAAGUAUCACAGGGUCCCAUUCCCAGACAAAGAACUAUGGGUCACAAAUGACUUCUGGGAGAAGGAGAAUCGGCUUCUACUAAGAAUGAACACACUUAUUGGUUUUCCAGUGCGGAGGGGAAAGUGAUAUACAAAUGACUAACCAAAUCAGGUUCUAUCAAGAUACAUAUACACAUACACAUACAUAUGUGUGUAUGUUAAUACAUAUAUACACAUAUAAAUAUAAACACAUAUACAUAUAUAUAAAACCUUGGAGAGAGAGAGAGAGCAUAAUAGUCAAGGAAAAUAUCAACUUGAGGAAUAGUUGGAGAAGUUGGAGUGGAGGGAGGGUAUCUGGGAGGGUGGCAGGGAGGAAAGAGGAGGUAGGGGUGAUACAAUACUAUUUUAAUCAAUAAAUAUGUAUUUUAAAAAUAAGAUAUUAGCUUUCACCAUGUCUAUGUCAAGUUGUUUAGCAUAUAUUUAGUACUAAUUUGUUGUAAUGUUAAUUUCUGCCUUUUUAAGUCCUUUGGGUUUUUCUUCCAAUUUAUUUAUUUAUUCACUUUACAUCUCUGGAUCAGCCCCGCUCUGCUCCCAGUACCCUUUUACACAAGAACCCCCAGUUAUGUGCUGGCUUUGAGAUAGACUGUAGCAGAUUUUUCUUCUUCUUCUUUUUUUAGGUUAGGAAUUAUUUAUUGAAUAAAUUAACAGUGGUAACUGUG
ensembl:antisense 5330439A09Rik RIKEN cDNA 5330439A09 gene